CUUGACCUACGGGAGGCAGCAGUGGGGAAUAUUGCACAAUGGGGGAAACCCUGAUGCAGCAACGCCGCGUGAGUGAAGAAGUAUUUCGGUAUGUAAAGCUCUAUCAGUAGGGAAGAAAAUGACGGUACCUGACUAAGAAGCCCCGGCUAACUACGUGCCAGCAGCCGCGGUAAUACGUAGGGGGCAAGCGUUAUCCGGAUUUACUGGGUGUAAAGGGAGCGUAGACGGAAUUGCAAGUCUGAUGUGAAAAUCCGGGGCCCAACCCCGGAACUGCAUUGGAAACUGUAUUUCUAGAGUGUCGGAGC
rnacentral:rRNA from 1 species